GGGGGGCAGGCCUAACACAUNCAANUCNAGCGGCAGCACGGGUACUUGUACCUNGUGGCGAGCGGCGGACGGGUGAGUAAUGCCUAGGAAUCUGCCUGGUAGUGGGGGAUAACGNUCGGAAACGGACGCUAAUACCGCAUACGUCCUACGGGAGAAAGCAGGGGACCUUCGGGCCUUGCGCUAUCAGAUGAGCCUAGGUCGGAUUAGCUAGUUGGUGGGGUAAUGGCUCACCAAGGCGACGAUCCGUAACUGGUCUGAGAGGAUGAUCAGUCACACUGGAACUGAGACACGGUCCAGACUCCUACGGGAGGCAGCAGUGGGGAAUAUUGGACAAUGGGCGAAAGCCUGAUCCAGCCAUGCCGCGUGUGUGAAGAAGGUCUUCGGAUUGUAAAGCACUUUAAGUUGGGAGGAAGGGCAGUUACCUAAUACGUAUCUGUUUUGACGNACCGACAGAAUAAGNCCGCAC
rnacentral:rRNA from 1 species